rnacentral:rRNA from 1 species
UACGGAGGAUGCGAGCGUUAUCCGGAUUUAUUGGGUUUAAAGGGUGCGCAGGCGGCACGGCAAGCCGGCGGUCAAAUCGCGGGGCUCAACCCCGCCCAGCCGUCGGAACUGCCGGGCUAGAGUGGGCGAGAAGUGCGCGGAAUGCGUGGUAUAGCGGUGAAAUGCAUAGAUAUCACGCAGAACUCCGAUUGCGAAGGCAGCGCACCGGCGCCCUACUGACGCUCAGGCACGAAAGCGUGGGUAUCGAACAGG